AUGGCUCCCCGGCACGAGGCGCCGCGGCUUCCUGGACUCGUCCAGACACGGGGCGGCGCGCAGGAGAAGCCCAUCGAGCUGCCGGCGGUGGCGGCAGCAGCGGUGGCUGCAGGAGCGGCCGCCGCGCCGGCUGAUGACGCACAAGCGCAUGGGGGGGGGGGGCGCGCGGCCGGCGCGGGAGCGACGCGAGCCGAUGACGUGCGGCGAACGGGGCUGCUCGGCAGCAUGGCGUCCGUGGCGCUGAGCGAGGCCGAGAAGGUGUAUAUCGUGCACGGCGUUCAGGAAGACCUCCGUGUGGACGGCCGUGGCUGUGAGGACUACCGAUGUGUCGAAGUGGAAACCGACGUGGUGUCCAACACCAGUGGGUCUGCCAGGGUCAAGCUGGGUCACACAGACAUCUUGGUGGGAGUGAAAGCCGAAAUGGGGACGCCGAAGCUGGAGAAACCCAAUGAAGGGUACUUGGAGUUCUUCGUUGACUGUUCAGCCAACGCUACUCCUGAAUUUGAAGGCCGGGGAGGUGAUGACCUCGGCACGGAGAUUGCUAACACCCUCUACCGGAUAUUUAACAAUAAGAGCAGCGUUGACCUGAAGUCCCUCUGCAUCAGUCCCCGGGAGCACUGCUGGAUUCUCUAUGUGGACGUGCUGCUGCUGGAAUGUGGCGGGAAUUUGUUCGAUACCAUCUCCAUUGCUGUAAAGGCUGCUCUCUUCAAUACAAGGAUCCCAAGAGUUCGGGUUCUAGAGGAUGAAGAGGGGUCCAAGGAUAUUGAACUCUCGGAUGACCCUUAUGACUGCAUCCGGCUAAGUGUGGAGAAUGUCCCCUGCAUUGUCACCCUGUGCAAGAUUGGCUACCGGCACGUAGUGGAUGCUACUCUCCAGGAGGAGGCCUGCUCCUUGGCCAGCUUGCUGGUGUCCGUGACCAGCAAGGGAGUCGUGACAUGCAUGAGGAAAGUGGGGAAGGGCAGCCUGGACCCAGAGAGCAUCUUCGAGAUGAUGGAGCGAUUGUUCCUCCAGGCACCGUGACAGUGCUCCCAACACAUCAGCCUGCUCCUCCCGCCCCUGCUCCUGGCUGACUGCCCGUGAUGGAACAUUGACAGUGGUCAAGAGGCAGCCAGACUUUGGAUCAAGUUUAGAAGCUUCAGUCUUGCUGAUUAAAGACCUCAGACGGACGAGGCUUUGCCAGGCUGGGGGGUAUGACCGCUGCCCAACUGGGCUGACUGGCCGAGCGGUGAAAAUGGAGGGCUGUGGGUGCAUCUCCAGGGCUGCGUAGACCCUCCUUGGGAGACAUGCCAAGCCUACACCUGGGGAGACCCCAAGGCAAAAGACACCUUCCCUGUCGCGAUGUUAUGUAAGUCAUUUUACUUGACUUAACUUUUUAAAAGUUUAGAGAGAGAGAGAAUGAGCAGGGGAGGGGCAGAGAGAGAGGGAGAGAGAGAAUCCCCAGCAGGCUCCACACUGUCAGGGCAGAGCCUGAUACGGGGCUCAAACUCACCAACCAUGAGAUCAUGACCUGAGCCAAAACCAAGAGUUGGAUGCUUAACCGACUGAGCCACCCAGGCGCCCCUCCAUAAGUCAUUUUAACAGCACACUGACUCCCAGUUGCUUGCAGAGGGGCUCCGUGUAUUGCACACACACAUGCACACACACCGACGAAAAGUUGCAGGGUGAAAAAAAAAACAGAUACUGCUCACCACUUACUAGAAAACUCUCUAAGCAAGCCUCCUUCCUGGAGAACAGAGAGUUCACCUGCCAGGUUACCUAGGAGAGAGUCACACUCCCCCAUUAGCCUCGCUUGGGGGCGCUAAAGCUGGACAGAGGCUGAAUGUGUCUCUGCUACAUCCCCCGGCCCCGGUCUGUGUCCAAAGUUUAAGGUUGGCUCGAGCAGCGCUUUGAGGUCUGCCCUGUCUACAUCUGCGGCUUUAUUCCUUCCCCAUCCCCACCCCGAUUAGUGUUCAGGAUGGAGAAUGUGCAGGGUUCUGUCCACCAGGAGCCCUGUCCACAUUUCUUCCUCCUGUCCCCUCCCCUUCCCUCUGUGGUCCCCCCCCCCUCAGCUGGGGGCUGCCUUCCUUCCCACCCCCCGCGCCCCACCCCAUUAGGUGCCCUGGGAGACCCCAGCGUAGUCCCUCAGUCCCAAUGGCACAGCGGGCCCCUCAUAUUGAACCCCCGAUGCCCAGGCACAUCACGGAGGGAAUGAGGGACUAAUGGGACGCUAACAGUUCCAGCCGUGUCCUGGCACAGCGUGGCUCCUGUGUGGCUCCUGCGUGACAAGACACGGAGCAAGGGGCUCCAGUUUUCUGAAUUGCCACGGCAGAGCUUUUCUGGGGCCUCCUCCCCAGUAUACCUAGGGCAAGGCCUCUACAGCCAAGCUCAUGGUGAACGUGGUACCUCUGGCUGCCCCGUGUUUGGAACAAACUCCUUCCAUUUCCCUGCGGCCGAAGAACCAAGGUGAGAAAACCAGGACAGCAAAGGAGUUAGUAAGAGAAAAAAAGAUCAGUCGUUUUCUUUUGCCCGGUGCUACCCACCCAGAGUUCCAGGAAGCAAGGCUCCCUUUUGGACUGGGUGCUCCGUGGCCCCAACUUGUCUCCCCGAGGGCCCAGCUGCACCUCUAAAAUCCUCUCCCGCCCUGAGCACAGGAGAUGCGGAGCACGGUGUCACCAAAGGGUCCCCCAGUGCUUGCUGCCUGCCCCCGGCUCCCGCCCUGGGCCACCACACAGUCCCUGGGGCCAGCCCCGCCAAAAUCUGAUGGGGUUAAGGCAGACUCCCUGGAAGAAAAGCCCAAAUUACAUAGUACUGUGUUUUCUUUUUGAACAAUCUUAAGCUCACAGAAAAUCGUCAAUUCCAGCAGGAAGACCAUUUGCCCCCUUAGUCGUUUGUAAGUUGUCAGCCCGAUGCCCCAUCACUGGCUUCAUCCGACAGUGUGUGUCUCCUCCAGGCAAGGCCACUGAAUCCGUCCUACGGAAUCACAGCGCACCGUCCAAUUCGGGACAGCAGCAGGGACACGUCACAGCCACGUGCCGCUCGGGUUUCUCUGACUGGUUCGGUGGCACCCUUGCGAGCGGAAGGGGCCAGAAUCCCAGGCUGCGUCUGCUGUUCUGUGCCUUCAGUCUCCUUCAGUCCGAGACGGUUCCUCAAUCACAGUCUGGCCAGUUUUAAAGAGCACAGUUUUGCAGAAGGCCGCUCGGUUGGGUCCGUGUGAUGUUUCUUUGGCAGGAAUCUCCUGGACAUGGGGGUGGGGGUGGGGGUCUGCGUGCUUUCCGUCUGCCCCUCGAUCCCUGAUGCUUUUACUCUGCUCACUUGACGAAGGUUGGUGGCGGCCAGGCUCCUUCCCCGUGCGCUUUCUCUUUUUCUCUUGGUAAGCGAUAAGUAUUUUGUGGCCAAGUAAUUUGAGUCUAUGAAUAGAGCCUGUUCUUCAUCAGA